rnacentral:rRNA from 1 species
CCUACGGGGGGCUGCAGUAAGGAAUCUUCCACAAUGUACGCAAGUAUGAUGGAGCGACGCCGCGUGUAGGAUGAAGUCCUUCGGGAUGUAAACUACUGUCAGGGGUAAGAAAGUUCUGAUCUACCCCAGAGGAAGAGACGGCUAACUCUGUGCCAGCAGCCGCGGUAAUACAGAGGUCUCGAGCGUUAGGCGGAAUCACUGGGCUUAAAGCGUGUGUAGGUGGAUGGGUAAGUACUUUGUGAAAUCCCACAGCUCAACUGUGGAACUGCUUGGUAUACUGCCCGUCUUGAGUCACUCAGGGGCGAGCGGAACAGAUGGUGGAGCGGUGAAAUGCGUAGAUAUCAUCUGGAACGCCAAUGGUGAAGACAGCUCGCUGGGGGUGUACUGACACUGAGACACGAAAGCCAGGGGAGCGAACGGGCUUAGAUACCCUUGUAGUC